CUUAAGAAAGUUCAAGAAACUUGGAGAAAAAAAAUGGAGAACCAUUCGGCCAUAAAUCUAGCCGAAUAAGGGGCUUGAAAAAAUUGAUCAAAAAAUUAUUUCUUCUAGUAUUCCAACUAAUUUGAAGGCCCUAAUUAACAUGGAGUGGUUGUUGGAGUAAUAAAACCAUUCAUUCUUGCAAGGAGCAACUCUAGCCAAGUUGAAGAGCUAAGUGGAAAAGACUAGCAAGCUUGGAUAAAUAAGCGUAGCUAAUAGGGCGUGGAGCAGGUACACUCAGAUGAGUAGAAGCCAAUAUAGAAGAUGUUCCAGCGGCGUUGGUAAGCUCCACUCGCUCCUGGAGUGCUGCCGAGUCAGAGUAUAUGUGUUAUGAUUUCUGAUUAAUGUUAGAGACUUUGCAGACAGAGUCGUGGGUAUAGGAUGUCGGUUUUGUAAGCGGCUCCAUCAGUCGAUGUGUCAUUCUAUGUUAUGAUAUAAAUUCCAAUUGAUUAUAGAUUUUGUUUGACUUGAGAAUGACGAAAGAAAUUUGUCUGAAAGCUCCUGUUAUGUAUUUCAUUCUAUUUGAGUCAGAAGUCCAAGAGAUUAUGUAUGUAAUAAGAGUCAGCGGGUUCGCUCGGCUCCAAAUUUGGGGUCGGGUGUCCAUCACACCCUAGUAAGGUUAGGGUGUGACAGUAUUGUUGGGUGUGCGUACAAAGUACCACAUUGGUAGCUGAAAAGAAAAAGUAGUUACUUAUAAGGAGUUAGAUAUUCUUAAUAAUGUGAGACCUUUUAGGGAAAAACCGUGCGGGCUUGGCCCAAAGCGGAUAAUAUCACGGAGGAAGGGGUUUGGCCGAGGGAGUAUGUCGGGUAAAUAGUUCUGGCCGGCUAGGAUAGAAGCGAAAUUACUUUAGAAGGGGCAUGGGGCGGGUAAAUAUUUUAUAUUUUAGGGAUAUUUGGUUUUGUUUUCCCUGUAUUAUUCACAUCUACCACUCCACGUUUCAUUCUUUAUCGAAGCAUUUCUCCUCUCCUAAUGAAUAUCACACACUUAAUUCUCCUUUCUAUACGCACGUUCCUUUACUCGUUAAAUCCAUUACUUCGAUCAUUGAUUACGUCAAACCUAUAAAUAUUACUUCAGUAGCAUUUGAUUUUAAGCCACAUCCCCUUUCAUUUUAAAUCUCACGUAUUUUUCUUGUAGGUCGCCUUCAAAGGAUUGGCAAGAAGAUAGGAAAAGAAUUCUAUGCUGACGAUUCGGCACUGUUUUCCAGAAGCUUGUAGGUCGCCUUCAAAGGAUUCGUCUCUUCUUCUUCUUCGUUUUUUGGAUUCCUUUAUAUUAUAUUACAUGUGAUGAAUAUAGGAUGAUUAUCCAAGUAUUGGGAUGGUAAGUAAAAUAUUAAAGGAAGAGGAAGAAUUAUGGGCCGGGGAUUUUGCAUAAAAUUUGGAGUGAAAGGAGAAAAUCAGGUGGUAAAAAUGGAAAAUGAAAAGGAAUAAGAAAAGUGAGGAAAAAUCCACGUCCAUUUGUGCCAAGAUUUGUGUAUGUACAUUGUACAUUUCCUCAAUUUGGGGUUUUAUAAGUACUACUCAGUGUAUUGAUUUCCUUAUUGUGUUGCUCUUAAUUUCGCCUUUUUAUUCUUUUAUUAUUAGAUUAGGGAAAUAUUUUAAAGACAACUGGUAUUUUACUUAUGACCUAUAUCAAAUAUAUAUAUUUAUCUUUUUUUAUGGUUUUUGCUUUUUUGUCCUUAUUAUUUUGUUCAACUUAUUCUUAAAAAUGUAAAAGAGGCUAAAUAAUUACUUGAUUAAUGAGGAAGACGUUUUUAAAUGGUUGAUGCCAAAACGUUUCAAACUUA